GCCAUUGACAGUAACAAACUGGGCCACCGGAACUAUUUAAAGUGAGAUUCUGGUUGAUAAUGAAACAGCAUAAGAAGCAGACGCAAUCAUGCAAACACCGCUGAUUUUGAACUUCUCAGCCCAAGCCGGCGGGAGCUUUGGUGGCGCAACCGUCUGAGCAAUCGCCUUUCACCUCUGACAUUGCGGGUCCGAUUUUGGAUACGGUCGACACAUGUAAAAAGCGUCUGUCAACGCUCUGCCGAAAGUGGUGGGCAGGGCGCUUAUAUAGAGGGCGGUGAAACGGCUAUAGGCGCGCCGAUCGAUGUGUGAUGCAAUGAACUGGUAACGAGUUUGUUGUGGUUAC